AGUGAACGCUGGCGGUAGGCCUAACACAUGCAAGUCGAACGGCAGCACCGUAAGAGCUUGCUCUUACGGGUGGCGAGUGUCGGACGGGUGAGUAAUACAUCGGAAUCUACUUUUUCGUGGGGGAUAACGUAGGGAAACUUCCGCUAAUACCGCAUACGACCUACUGGUGAAAGCAGGGGAUCUUCGGACCUUGCGCGAUUGAAUGAGCCGAUGUCGGAUUAGCUAGUUUGCGGGGUGAAGGCCCACCAAGGCGACCAUCCGUAGGGGGUCUCAGAGGAAGAACCGGCACACUGGAAGUGAGACACGGUCCAGACUCCGACGGGAGGAAGCAGUGGGGACUACUGGACAAUGGGGGAAAGCCUGAUCCAGCGAUACCGCGGGAGUGCAGACGGCCUUCGGCUGGUAGAACGCUUUUGUUGGGAAAGAAAAGCAGCAGUUUCAUACCGCGCUGUUCUGACGGUACCCAAAGAAGAAGCACCGGCUAACUUCGUG
rnacentral:rRNA from 1 species